UUGGAUUCAGAAAUUAAUCCACUGAAUCAGGCUGAAUCUCUGCUGAAUCGAAUCGGUGACUGAAGCUUUGCAUAGUUCUAAUGCUGAAUGCCACUGUUUGGCAUGAAAGUACUGCUGAUUGUGGUAUCUACUUUUGUAGCAUCUAAAAGUUUAAAAGAGGGGCAUUACCUAGUGCAACAGCAGAGCUGUUUGUUAGUAUUGUAGUGAUGCAAAGAGCAAAAUAAAUCCAAGUUCUUUUCUGGAAGGGUUCCUUUUAAAUAUGAUAUGGCUUUUAGCAAGCAUGGUGUGGUUUCUUUUUCACUCUACCUUUAUGUUAUAUGUUCUAAGUAUGUUCAAAAGACCCUAUACAAAUAUUGUUUCCUCAAAGUAGUGCUGUGUUCAGCUCAAUGAAGAAGGCUGCUGAUUAGAUUUUCUAGAGUAGGAGAUGCACAUUGCCUUUUUCAAUAUACCCUGUUUUACCUGCUACCCAAAUUGUCCAUAUGUAGUGUAACAAGUCAAUCACAAGUUGUUAUAGCAUCAGUACAAUGUAGGUCAUUAUUCUUCAGUGUAUCAUAAGAUUUCAACAUUUGUGUGUUCGUUAAGGGCCUAAUCAUAUUCUCGCUAACUUGAAUGGAAAUUGGGAUGGGUCCUAAAUGACUAGGAUAUGUUUAUUUUGCAGAAAUGGAUUUUUUUCUCAUUUGUCUUUGUAUAUAAUAUAGAAUCUCUGUUAUACAUAAUACUUGUAACAUAUUCCAUGCUAGUUGUAAUGAUGCUAUUCCCUUGUGUGCUGGAUAUAUCUGUGGGCCAUCUCUUAAAGAAUCAAAUUCACCUUUAAGAAUUAAACCUGUGUGUACCAAUAAUUAAACAAUG